CUAAAAUCUCAACGAUGGAUAUCUUGGCUCCCACUACGAUGAAGAACGCAGCGAAGUGCGAUAAGCAAUGCGAAUUGCAGAACCGUGAAUCAUUAGAAUUUUGAACGCA
rnacentral:rRNA from 2 species